GUAAGGUUUUUUGUUAAGUGUCAACAGCAUCUAGCAGUUGGCUUGUAAUUAUUUUCAUAACAAGGGCUUUUUAAAUGCAGCACAAUUGAAAGACAACAGCUCCUAGCAUGUUUUACUUUGAAGUUGAUUGUUUAAUAGUACUGUUUUACAAGCUGGCUAUUGUGUUGAGAUAGAUUAACUCUCUUAAGAUGGACGGUGGACAUAUUUGAGUCUUGACUCAUCUAUUUUCUGAUGACACAUAAAGCUUAUUACCAAACUUUUGUAACUACUUAUAUUUUGUUAAGUUCUAUUUUUAAUUUUAGUUACCUCAUUCCUAAAAUUAUGAAACUCUUGCUUUCAUUGCACUAUUUUUUGUAGUUUCUCAAUGCCAAACUUCAAAUUUUAGUUGGUUAAAUUAUGGUAACAAAAAUCUUAUUUUGUUUUGCCAAAGGUAUAAGAAUUCAUUUAAUAAUCUUUCUCAUGGAUCUUUUUCCAUAAAUCUUCUGUUUUUGAAUUUUUUUUAUGAUUUUAUUCGUUGUGCAGAUUCUCUCAUAGAUGCAUCAAUCAUUUUGUUUUCGACUCUGGUGAUUCUGAAGUUCAGGAACUCAUGCAAAAGUGGUCUUUAACAUUGUAUCCAAAAGUUGUUAUUAUCUGCCCACUUUUAAGAUCAGAUAUCUCAAACCUGUAUUUUCAUUUCUAUUUAAGUAGUGCCCCCUUCACUUGUUUUAAAAAAGAUGUACCAUUUUGGCUUGAAGACUUGUUUCUUGAAAAUUGUGGCGAACAGGUAGAAUUUCCUGGCAGAGGACAUAAUGCCUUUUCAGGUUUUCAACAGUGUUAUCCAAUAAUAUUUUCUUACUUUUUUCUUAAAUCGAUUGAUGUUUUAUGAUGACUAUUUCUUAUUAAUCUAGGUUUAUUCAAGACUACCUUUUUUGGGG